UCUCCUGAAUAUUACUGCUUUUCCUUUUCACAGUUAAGAGAGUUCCAAAAGAAACAGCGCCUAGCUGGAACUGCUGAGGAAAAAACCAUCAAAACGGCCAGUAGGCCCCAGCCCAGCACUUGUGGGAGGUGCCAGUCACCUCAGGAGCCCCCAUCAUCCAUCACUGGGGAGGCCUUGAGGACUUCAACCUAUGUUAAGGAGCUGGAGAGCCGGUGCCUCGUUCUGCAGGCAGCCCUGGACUCCAGCCACGCAGUCAAGAAAUACAUAGCAAGUGUGGUGCAGGGACUGGUAAGAGUCCAGUGGGCUCCCCUGGUUUCACGCUGCCAAUCCUGGGCUCCAAUUUCCCUUUGGGGCUCUGAAGAAAAGGGGCUGGGGUUCCUGUGCCAAGGGAGAAUGGAGUGCUCGGGGGCCUAGUUCUCUGCAGGAGGGACCCCAGACCAUGCAGCAUGGCUCUUUCUGUUGCUGACCUGCCUGCCCACUCUCUUUUCUCCAGACA